CCAGAGGGCCCGGCCGGGUGCGGGCACUGCGGAGGAGUCGGGCCGGGCCGGGGAUUUGUGGGGUGGCGAGGCGAGCAGAGGCCCCCCCCCCCGUAGGGGAAAGGCAGCUCGUUCUUUCUGGGCAGGUUUCUUGGCCCUGCAUCUACGUAAACGCCUUCUGCCUUCACCGAAUCUGGGGUUGGAGCCAGCGCUUCUCCCCGCUGCCGGGGCAGAGGGAGCCCCGAGCGUCCCCCGGCUCGCCGUGGUGCUGGGUGCCCCGCUCCCCGUCCUGGCCGCUCGGGCGGCCCGCCGCCGGCUGGCAGGGGGCCGGGGGCCGUGGGCAGCGCUCUCUGAAAACCUCUGCUAGGCUUAGGUUGCAAGACAAUAUGAUGUCUCAAAAAUAGAAUCGGAGUAGAGCCUAAACCUUCAGCCUGCUAGUGACCAUUGCUGUUCAGUACCACGUGCACCCUGGUCUUGCAAAGAGCUGUGCCUUAGAGUGUUACCUUGCAAAGUCAGAUCCACAGACUCUAAAAUUCUGGAGACAGAGAGGUAUGUUCUGAGUGGUAACAGCAAAACUGUAGACAUUGUAGCAAAUUUACGUGUUUGUUGUGUCCAUCCUCCCGCCCCGCCACCACACAAGGACAACUGCCUUCCUUAUCGAGAGAGUUGCAAGUCUUUGCUGUGUCUGAAGGAAGAAAAAUAAG
rnacentral:lncRNA from 1 species